CACAAGUACCUCUGGACCAACUCCAUUUUGGCAUCAUACAUAGAAGCUUCUGGAAAACAGAGAUUGCACCAUGACACAUUGACACAAGACUAUGUGAGAGAUAUAGAGAUUAAUAGAGUUUAAAAGUGAUAUAAAUACAGAGAACAAACUGGUGGUUUACAUGGAGAGAUGCGCAAAAUAGGUGGAGGGAGAGGAUUAAGAGGUACAAACUUCAGUUAAUAAGUAAACUCUAGGUCCAACAUGGAGCUUGAACUCACAACCCCAAAAUCAAGAGUUGCAUGUUCUUCUGAGUCAGCCAAGCAUCCCAGAACAUUCAUGAGAUAUUAG